CGCGGCCUAUCAGCUUGUUGGUGAGGUAAUGGCCCACCAAGGCAGUGACGGGUAGCCGGCCUGAGAGGGCGACCGGCCACACUGGGACUGAGACACGGCCCAGACUCCUACGGGAGGCAGCAGUGGGGAAUAUUGCGCAAUGGGCGAAAGCCUGACGCAGCGACGCCGCGUGAGGGAUGACGGUCUUCGGAUUGUAAACCUCUUUCAGCAGGGACGAAGCGCAAGUGACGGUACCUGCAGAAGAAGCACCGGCCAACUACGUGCCAGCAGCCGCGGUAAUACGUAGGGUGCAGGCGUCGUCCGGAAUUAUUGGGCGUAAAGAGCUCGUAGGCGGCUUGUCGCGUCGGUUGUGAAAACCUGGGGCUCAACCCCGGGCCUGCAGCCGAUACGGGCAAGCUAGAAUUCGGUAGGGGAGACUGGAAUUCCUGGUGUAGCGGUGAAAUGCGCAGAUAUCAGGAGAAACACCGGUGGCGAAGGCGGGUCUCUGGGCCGAUAUUGACGCUGAGGAGCGAAAGCGUGGGGAGCGAACAGGAUUAGAUACCCUGGUAGUCCACGCCGUAAACGGUGGGCGCUAGGUGUGGGCCACAUUCCACGUGGUCUGUGCCGCAGCUAACGCAUUAAGCGCCCCGCCUGGGGAGUACGG
rnacentral:rRNA from 1 species